UGAUAAUCGAGUGGAUCAGGUACCCUGAAUGAGUCGGGGUUCAAUAGGGAAGACGGUGUGAUUCCGUCGCGGUCCCGCCGCUGUGAACGGGGACGAAAGCCAUCUCAGCCACUGUCGCGCCGAGCGCGUGAUGGGAAGGUUUGGCGAGUAGAGUGAUCCGUGAGCCAGAAGACCUGCCUGAGACCGAAUCACGGU
rnacentral:ncRNA from 2 species